rnacentral:lncRNA from 1 species
CGAAGGUGACGACGUGUGAAACUGACAGUUUAAUUGAAUCAAAAACCUGGGAUUGUGUAUGAUAAGAAUCAUUGGAGAUAGUAUGUAUUUGUAGCACAAAAGGUGCCUAUCUCUAAGUAGGUUUUGGACGUCUGUAAGAAUCUAAAUAGGAUUUGGACUGCUGUAUGAAGCCAGCGAGCGGCGCAUAGGAAGCCGCCUCCGUACGCUCUGCGUCUUUUCCUUUAUCAAUUUGGGCCAGCAGCUUCCUUUUUUUUGGCAACUAAGAAAUAGAGAUAUGGGCCGGCCGACCAGCCCGGUUUAGUUUUAAGUGUACGUCCCGAUUCCUUGAUUUCUACGUUUGAUUUUUGAUUUUCCUUAAAGGGACAAAAGUCUUAUAACAGGAUGAAAUAAAGUAAAACCAAACCAAAAAUAUCUAUCCCCUUUAAUAGUAGGUAUAGAUAUAGAAUAGAAGAGGACGUGUGGAUCAGCAAAAGUAAAAAAGAGAAUUCUUCUCCUAGGCACACAAGGAAAGAGAUCCAUGUUCUGCCAACUUGCACGUCUGCUGUUACCUGAAAAAAAGAGCAGGUCGUUCUUUACACGUGGGGCUGAUCCAAAUAGAAAAGAAAGGAAACAUAUUUGAUUGGACUAUUUUUUUUUUAAAACGGAGGCUCUAGAGGAGUCCGGCUUUGAAUUAACAAAGCCAUCAACCGGCCAGGAAAAGUAAUACAAGCACGAAACCAACACAAGAAAACAAAAAAACGACAAGGUACAAAGACGCUGGACAGCAGCUCACAAGCCUCACACACACCAAGCUAAAUAUGAUCGAACAUGGAGACACGCAGCUCGGAGAUAUGUAGGUCCUCAAUCGCGUACGGGUCACCAAGGAAGUAGGAGAAUGUCAGCACAGGAGUAGCACUUUCGACGGUGAGGAAGGGCACGCCGUCGCCAAAUCGCCAGCGGCCCGACAUGCCAUGUCCUCCCAGCUCCACUGUCAAAGAAAGCCCCUACCUCCUCGCCUGGAUCGAAGGCGCCGAACCGUUGACAGUGUCGCGGUUCACCCUAGAACCUGGGAGGAAGGACACCGGCAGGCUGCAUCUGGAAAAGGAACCGAGCGCACCCGACAAGCUACGGAGUGCUCACCUGGAGCAGAGCACCACCAAAUCCACGGACUGGACAUGAAUGAGAAAGAGAUGCCGGAACGGGCGGAGAAGAGCAUUAGCGGCCAGCUAUCUCCGCCGCUGCACACCCACCACAUCGCCGAGCAAGCCCAAUGCCCACCUAGCUCCCAAAGACGGCGCCUUCAGGAAGGAACGCGAUGCCAAGGGCGCCGCCGCCGCCCAACAGUGUUGUGGUUUUCACCCGGGAGACUAGAGGGGAAGGGGGCGGCGGAUCUGACCUGAACGGCGCCUCCAAGGAGGGGAACGGCGCCCUCGAGCAUCGCCGCUGCCAAGACCGGCGAGGCCGGCCUAGGAUUUCUCCCGGUCUUCGAAUCCCCGCCACCCUUACCCCAACGGCGCGAGACCUGGCGGCCCGCAGAGGAGCAGGCCGGAUCCGGCCGGGGAGGAGCUCGCCAAACAGGGGAGGCAGGGGCGGCCAGAUCUGGCGCUGCCGAUCUGCCGCUGCACCAUGCCACCCGUCCUCCAGUUCAUCUGCCGUCCACACGGCCAGGUUCGCCGCCCCACGCCCCUGCCACCGCCUGUCGCAGGGCCGGUGACGUCUCUCCGACAGGGCCGCCGCCCCGAGGACCUCGGCCCCCCGCAGAAGAGGCAGGGCAGCCAGGGCCCCGCCGCCACCUUCCUCGGCGGCGCCCCGGGCUUGGCCUCAGGCGGCGGCGAGGGGGAAGGGAGGGGAAAAGAAGGUGGCGGCGCUAGGGUUUGGACCCCCGAGUCGCCCGAGCAGGGGCCAAUAUCUCGAGUUGCCCUUACCUAAGGCAAGUAAUCAAUUGGAGUACUUUGUUUGGAAGGCAAAACAAAUUGAUUUGGUUGGAAGAUUCUGUCAAUAAAGUUGCUCCGAUUGUUUGGCAGUUUUGGUUUGGAAAGUGCUAGUCGGUUUUGUUUUUUUGGAAAGAGAGAAAGAAAAGGCAAGAAGAGAGAGAGAGUUUGGGAAAGGAAUCAGAAUCGCUCCACCCACCGUUUGCAUCAACAAAAAUCUGUACGCGAGAUCAGUGUGUCCUUUAUUUGGAAGGUUUGCUGCAGAGUAGUAUUUUUGUUGUUUUAGAAAGUGAGAUACGUCCGGGAGAGAAGAAAAAAGAAGGAAAGUAAAAAGAGAGAAGGAAAGAGAAAACGGAGGAGUAUAUAAAGGGUUCGACCUUACCUUUGGAAAGAGACCAGCGCCAAAAAAAAUUUGCUGAUGUUUUGGAAAGCUAGAUUCGGUCAAGAAUAUUUAUUGGGAUAAGUUUCCAUAGGAAGGCAUGAAGUAAAUUCGCGGUGUUUUCAACAGGAAGGUUGACCGCAAAAAAGGUGCAAAUCUGAUAGCCUUUGGGACGUGAUUAUAGCAGGGUUGUUUCCUUUUCCAAAAGGGAUAAGUAUUGGAGUUUUUGAUCCGGUCAAAAAAAAGGCGAGAACGAAUUGAUUGCAGAUUUGUUUCCUUGCGUUCACGUGGACAAAAGAACAAGUCAAAGCUGUGCGUUGCUUUUGGUUUUGGUUUCCACUUUCCAAGGAACUCUAGUACUAUUUUGUUGUUCACAGAUUUCUACUAGUGACAUAUUGGAGUUUGGAACGUAGAGAAAAAAAAAACAAAGAGCAGAUUUC